UACGUAGGGGCCUAGCGUUGUCCGGAUUUAUUGGGCGUAAAGAGCUCGUAGGCGGUUUGGUGAGUCGGGUGUGAAAUCUCCACGCUCAACGUGGAGGAGCCACCCGAUACUGCCAUGACUAGAGUCCGGUAGGGGAGUGUGGAAUUCCCGGUGUAGCGGUGGAAUGCGCAGAUAUCAGGAGGAACACCGGUGGCGAAGGCGGGUCUCUGGGCAGUAACUGACGCUGAGGAGCGAAAGCGUGGGGAGCGAACAGG
rnacentral:rRNA from 1 species